UACGGAGGGUGCAAACGUUGCUCGGAAUCAUUGGGCGUAAAGCGCACGUAGGCGGCUCGUUAAGUCGGAUGUGAAAUCCCUGGGCUCAACCCAGGAAGUGCAUUCGAAACUGGCGAGCUUGAAUAUGGAAGAGGGUCGCGGAAUUCCGAGUGUAGAGGUGAAAUUCGUAGAUAUUCGGAAGAACACCAGUGGCGAAGGCGACUUACUGGACACAUAUUGACGCUGAGGUGCGAAAGCGUGGGGAGCAAACAGG
rnacentral:rRNA from 1 species